rnacentral:sRNA from 1 species
AAUUAGAAGAAGAUAGCUGCUAACUGAGUGGCUGACGGUCCUGCCUCUCGAGUUGGAGGCAUCUUGACGUAGUUGCUGGGAGCCUG